rnacentral:rRNA from 1 species
AGAGUUUGAUCCUGGCUCAGGACGAACGCUGGCGGCACGCUUAACACAUGCAAGUCGAACGAGAGAAGAGGAGCUUGCUUUUCUGAUCUAGUGGCGGACGGGUGAGUAACACGUGAGCAAUCUGCCUUUCAGAGGGGGAUACCGAUUGGAAACGAUCGUUAAUACCGCAUAACAUAAUUGAACCGCAUGAUUUGAUUAUCAAAGAUUUAUCGCUGAAAGAUGAGCUCGCGUCUGAUUAGCUAGUUGGUAAGGUAACGGCUUACCAAGGCGACGAUCAGUAGCCGGACUGAGAGGUUGAUCGGCCACAUUGGGACUGAGACACGGCCCAGACUCCUACGGGAGGCAGCAGUGGGGAAUAUUGCACAAUGGAGGAAACUCUGAUGCAGCGAUGCCGCGUGAGGGAAGAAGGUUUUAGGAUUGUAAACCUCUGUCUUCAGGGACGAAAAAAGACGGUACCUGAGGAGGAAGCUCCGGCUAACUACGUGCCAGCAGCCGCGGUAAUACGUAGGGAGCGAGCGUUGUCCGGAGUUACUGGGUGUAAAGGGAGCGUAGGCGGGAUCGCAAGUCAGAUGUGAAAACUAUGGGCUUAACCCAUAAACUGCAUUUGAAACUGUGGUUCUUGAGUGAAGUAGAGGUAAGCGGAAUUCCUAGUGUAGCGGUGAAAUGCGUAGAUAUUAGGAGGAACAUCAGUGGCGAAGGCGGCUUACUGGGCUUUAACUGACGCUGAGGCUCGAAAGCGUGGGGAGCAAACAGGAUUAGAUACCCUGGUAGUCCACGCCGUAAACGAUGAUUACUAGGUGUGGGGGGACUGACCCCUUCCGUGCCGCAGCAAACGCAAUAAGUAAUCCACCUGGGGAGUACGACCGCAAGGUUGAAGCUCAAAGGAAUUGACGGGGGCCCGCACAAGCAGUGGAGUAUGUGGAUUAAUUCGAAGCAACGCGAAGAACCUUACCAGGUCUUGACAUCGUAUGCAUAGCUCAGAGAUGAGUGAAAUCUCUUCGGAGACAUAUAGACAGGUGGUGCAUGGUUGUCGUCAGCUCGUGUCGUGAGAUGUUGGGUUAAGUCCCGCAACGAGCGCAACCCUUACUGUUAGUUGCUACGCAAGAGCACUCUAGCAGGACUGCCGUUGACAAAACGGAGGAAGGUGGGGAUGACGUCAAAUCAUCAUGCCCCUUUUGACCUGGGCCUCACACGUACUACAAUGGCUGUCAACAGAGGGAAGCAAAGCCGCGAGGUGGAGCGAACCCCUAAAAGCAGUCUUAGUUCGGAUUGUAGGCUGCAACCCGCCUACAUGAAGUCGGAAUUGCUAGUAAUCGCAGAUCAGCAUGCUGCGGUGAAUACGUUCCCGGGCCUUGUACAUACC